rnacentral:rRNA from 1 species
AUGAGUCUGCUCUGUUGGAAUUGCUGGGGGAUUAGCAGCGACCCGACAAUUCAAAAAUUGCGUGAAUUCAUAAAUAAGUUUGCUCCUAGAGUACUUUGUAUAGUUGAGACCCAGCUCAGUGGGGAAAGAGUUGAAAAUUUAAAAAGUACUUUAGGUUUUGAUAGUUCUUUUGAUGUGGAUGCCUCUGGUAGAAGCGGAGGUUUAGCUAUGUUUUGGAAUAAUGAAAUAAACAUUGAGAUUUUGGGCUACUCGAAAUACCACAUUGAUAGUAGAGUAACUGGUAUAGGUGACCAGCCGUGGAGACUCUCUUGUUUCUACGGAGAAGCACAAACACAUCUUCGUCACCACACUUGGGAUACUAUGAAAAAUUUAUCUACACUCCAGGAUGUGCCGUGGGUGUGUAUUGGAGACUUUAAUGAGGUCCUAAAGCAUGAUGACCAUGAUGGCAUUGGCUCGAGGAUUCAAGCGCAAAUCCAGGGCUUUAGAGAUGCAGUGGAUGUUUGUGGUUUGGUUGAUCUUGGUUUCAAAGGUACAAGAUGGACUUUUGAGAAGAAAAUAACUGCUGGCUCAUAUACCCGUGUCAGGUUGGAUAGAGCAUUGGGUUCAGUUGAUUGGUGCGUACUGUUUCCUUCAGCGGCCGUGGUGUCACGACCGGUUUUCCAAUAA